CCAAAAAAGCAUUUGAUAAAGUCCAACAUCCAUUCAUGACAAAAACUCUUACCAAAGUGGGUAUAGAGGGACUACACCUUAACGCAAACAUGCUGAGCUUGCCUGGGCCUCAGGGGUUUUGCAUGUACUCUCCUGGCCCCUGGAAAGUCCUUCCCCUGACCUUCGCAUGACUGUCUCCUGCUCAAACCUCCCCUUCUCGGAGAUUCCCUCAUCACCACCCCGCCAACCACUCCUGCUCCAUCACCUUGUUUUACUGUGGAAUUUUCUCCUUUAUGUGUUUAUUGGUUUAACAUCCAGUUUCCUUACAGGAGAGCGAGCUGAGCCUCUCACAUUCACAAGAGCCCUUCUGGCACUCAGAACAGCGCCCCCAGAAGCAGAGCUCAGUAAGUCCUGGUGAUGGGACUGAGUGUGUUCUCAGAUACAGACGAUGAUGCAGGAGGUCCAGAGGAGAAGGAAAAAUUGAAUCCAGCAUGGUGGGCACUGCUCCUGGCCCCUGCUCUGGAAGGUCCCACACUCUGCCAGGCUCAGCACAGCACCUUUGUUUGGUAUCUUUGUCCAUUUGGAAGGCUCACCAUGGGGGACGCCGAGUUGCCACAGCAGAGCUUUGCCGGAGGGCCACUGGACCACAGCAUGGGACAUGUCAUCUUUACAGAUCUGGAGCCCUCGUCAGCUGCCCUGAGUAUGAUGUGGGAUCUUGCCAGUGAGGGGGCUGCUGGACCCUGACUCCUCUGAGGGAUGGGGGAAUAAGGGUGAGUCACUAACUUCUACCCUGAGAAAAAAAGACGGCCACCAGUGAGGUCUGAGGUGAUAGUUGGCCG
ensembl:lncRNA